rnacentral:tRNA from 1 species
GGGUAUAGUUCAAUGGCAGAGCACCGGUCUCCAAAACCGUCGAUGGGAGUUCGAAUCUCUCUACCC